ACGGAAGGCAGCAGUGGGGAAUAUUGCACAAUGGGCGCAAGCCUGAUGCAGCGAUGCCGCGUGAGGGAAGAAGGUUUUCGGAUUGUAAACCUCUGUCAACAGGGACGAUAAUGACUGUACCUGUGAAGGAAGCUCCGGCUAACUACGUGCCAGCAGCCGCGGUAAUACGUAGGGAGCAAGCGUUAUCCGGAAUUACUGGGUGUAAAGGGAGUGUAGGCGGGACUGUAAGUCAGAUGUGAAAUAUGCCGGCUCAACUGGCAGACUGCAUUUGAAACUGCGGUUCUUGAGUGAAGUAGAGGUAAGCGGAAUUCCUAGUGUAGCGGUGAAAUGCGUAGAUAUUAGGAGGAACAUCAGUGACGAAGGCGGCUUACUGGGCUUUAACUGACGCUGAGGCUCGAAAGCGUGGGGAGCAAACAGGAUUAGAUACCCUGGUA
rnacentral:rRNA from 1 species